CUCCACUUUCUUCUUCACCAUCGGCUCCAUUUCUGCUGUGACCUUCUCAGGCAUAUUAUCUUAUGCUUGAGAACUCUAGCAGUAACACAAUCUUGUCACGUAACCAUCGGAGAUGAGCAGGAGCUCCAGUGCACACGUCCUAUUACCACGCCAGUCAAGUCCAGAGAGGAGAAUAAGGGGUAACAUUUCCCUGCUUGGGUGGUGUCGGCAUGUCGGAGUCUCAAGCAUUAACUGGUAAUAAGCAACUGCACUUCUCUCUCAUUACACAAUAAUACACACACUGUUCCGAGAAGCUGUGGUGCGACAUUUCCUCGCUGGUGUGGUGCCCAUAUUCAUCUGGUUCACGAGCAACGCCUUUGUAAGCGUUGCCCGGCGGCGUCCCUUCCGUUGGCGGCGGAGCAAGGAUGGCCUGGGGAUCGCAGUUUUCACGGCCGCAGAUGUGUCGCCUCAGGCUCAGCAUCAGAGCGGUGAUGUCCGUGGCGGUAGCUGCGACGCUCCUGUGCAGCUGUUCCUUGCUCAAGAAUCAGACGCUGUACUCAAUAAGGCCAUCCAGGCUGGAGCUCAAGACCUGCUCGCCGAGGAACAACGUCGCCUUUCUCAAAACACACAAGUGUGCGUCCUCCGCCAUUCAGAACAUUCUCUUCCGCUAUGGAGACAAACACAAUCUCCAUUUCGCACUGCCAGAAGUAGGGAACUAUUUUGGAGGCGGAAAACAUACUUUUAAGGCUGCUAUGGUGCGGUCCUCACCUCUCAACAAGGUGACUCCCAAUAUCUUCGCCAUUCACACCAAGUGGGACCAU